AUGGUGUGCCUGGUGUCGUCGGUGAUCCCGUCGCGCGACCAAAAGUCCCUGGCCAAGUUCAUGGGGCCCAACGGCUCUCUCAACGUGUUCACGACGGCGGAGUACAACGCGACGGUGGAGUUCUACUGGGCGCCGUUCCUGGUGAGCUCCAACUCGGACGACACGCAGGUGCACAGCGUGGCGGACCGUGUUACCGCCUGGCGUUCCAUCGCCAAGCAUGCCCGGCACUGGCACGCCGCCCACUUCCUUGUCUUCAACACCUACGUCUGGUGGCUCAACAACUUUGAGAUGAAAGUGCAAGUACAUGCUGGUGGACCGGCCGGUGGCGUACAAGGAGGUGCUCAAGAUGUGGGCAAACUGGGUGGACCGCGGCGGAGGAGACGAGAGAAGACCACGGAAAGAAGACCACAGGCGGAGGAGAGGAGACGCGGUUGA
rnacentral:rRNA from 1 species